rnacentral:rRNA from 1 species
ACUACGGGGUGCAGCAGUGGGGAAUAUUGCACAAUGGGGGAAACCCUGAUGCAGCGACGCCGCGUGAGUGAAGAAGUAUUUCGGUAUGUAAAGCUCUAUCAGCAGGGAAGAAGAAAGACGGUACCUGACUAAGAAGCCCCGGCUAACUACGUGCCAGCAGCCGCGGUAAUACGUAGGGGGCAAGCGUUAUCCGGAUUUACUGGGUGUAAAGGGAGCGUAGACGGCUGUGCAAGUCUGAAGGGAAAGCCCAGGGCUCAACCCUGGGACUGCUUUGGAAACUGUGGAGCUAGAGUGCUGGAGAGGUAAGUGGAAUUCCUAGUGUAGCGGUGAAAUGCGUAGAUAUUAGGAGGAACACCAGUGGCGAAGGCGGCUUACUGGACAGUAACUGACGUUGAGGCUCGAAAGCGUGGGGAGCAAACAGGAUUAGAUACCCUAGUAGUC